rnacentral:sRNA from 1 species
GUCUGCACUUGUCGGGGAAGGGUGAGAAGCUUCGACUAAGGUUCGAUUCGAGCGAAAGCGAGAAAGCGUUGCCGCAGGCAACGACCCGAAGGGUGAGGAGAGAAGCGACGAAUAAUCCUUCCCCCACCACCA